rnacentral:rRNA from 1 species
GAAAAGCUACGAAGGGUGUGCGACGGAUGCCUAGGGACAGGUGGCCGAUGAAGGACGCGCAAGCGGCGAAACGCCCCGGGGAGCUGCACAGAAGUGUUGAUCCGGGGGUGUCCGAAUGGGGAAACCCGGCGAGGGUAAUGCCUCGUCAGUCAUAGCUGAAUACAUAGGUUAUGGCAGGGAACCGGCCGAACUGAAACAUCUAAGUAAGCCGAGGAAAAGAACUCGAAGAGAUUCCGUAAGUAGCGGCGAGCGAAAGCGGAAGAGCCUAAACCCUAAUGCUUGCAUUAGGGGGUUGUGGGACCGCGUAAAGCGACAAUAGGUUAGUGGAACAUUUCUGGAAAGUUGGACCAUAGCGGGUGACAGUCCCGUACACGAAAGCCGAAGAUAGCUGGCGGUAUCCCGAGUAGCGCGGAGCACGAGGAAUUCUGCGUGAAUCUAUCCGGACCACCGGAUAAGGCUAAAUACCGCCUGUCACCGAUAGUGCAACCAGUACCGUGAGGGAAAGGUGAAAAGUACCCAGGGAAUGGGGGUGAAAUAGUUCCUGAAAUCGCAUCACCCACAAACAGUCAGAGCGCUAUGCUUCGAGCAAUCGAAGAAUGCGUGAUGGCGUGCCUUUUGCAGAAUGAGCCUGCGAGUUGUUUGUGCCGGCAAGGUUAAGCGGUUGAGCCGCGGAGCCGGAGGGAAACCGAGUCUGAAUAGGGCGUCUAGUCGGUACAAGCAGACCCGAAACUGCGUGAUCUAGCCAUGGCCAGGCUGAAGUGGGGGUAACACCUCAUGGAGGGCCGAACUCAUUGACGUUGAAAAGUCUCGGGAUGAGCUGUGGUUAGUCCGGUGAAAUGCCAAUCGAACGCAGAGAUAGCUGGUUCUCCCCGAAAUGCAUUUGGGUGCAGCGUUACGUGUUUUCCUAUGGAGGUAGAGCACUGAAUGGGCUAGGGGCCCUACCAGGUUACCGAACCCAAUCAAACUCCGAAUGCCAUAGGAUUAGCGUAGCAGUGAGACGGCGAGUGCUAAGAUCCGUCGUCAAAAGGAAAACAAUCCAGAUCAGCAGCUAAGGGCCCUAAAUCACCGCUAAGUGUAAAACGAUGUGAGAUCGCGUAAACAGCCAGGAGGUUGGCUUGGAGGCAGCCACCCUUUAAAAAGUGCGUAACAGCUUACUGGCCGAAUGUGGUCUUGCGCGGACAAUGUAAGGGGGCUCAAGCGGUGUCCCGAAGCUCUGGGUUUCCGAGAAAUCGGAAGCGGUAGGGGAGCGUCGUAUUUGCAGUGAAGAUAGAGCGUGAGUACUGUUGGAGCGAAUACGAGUGAGAAUGCAGGCAUGAGUAGCGAGAACACAGGUGAGAAUCCUGUGCGCCGAAAACCUAAGGUUUCCCCCGCCAUGUUCGUCAGCGGGGGGUUAGGCGAGUCCUAAGGUGAGGCCGGAAGGCGUAGCCGAUGGAUAGACGGUUGAUAUUCCGUCCCCGGACGAAGGUUGUCAAGAGGGACGCUUCCAAACGUUCCAUCCCACACUGUUGGUAGUUGUGGGCCCGAAGCGGGCGUGGCACGGUGAAAACGUGCAUGAUCGCUCGCCAGGGGCAAGUGGAUUCUUCGGAUGAAGCGAACUGGAAUAGAUGGGGGCCGAGAAAAGCUCUGACGACAUUAACCUUCGCCCGCUCGUACCGCAAUCCGACACAGGUAGGUGAGUCGAGGAGACUUAGGCGUUCGAGAGAACUCCGGUCAAGGAACUAGGCAAACGAGCCCCGUAACUUCGGAAUAAGGGGCGCCUCGGUGCUGAGCCGAGGCCGCAGCGAAGCAGCCCAGGCGACUGUUUACCAAAAACACAGGUCUCUGCUAAGGCGAAAGCCGAUGUAUAGGGGCUGACGCCUGCCCAAUGCCAGUAGGUUAAUGGGAGGUGUUCGUUACGAUUCGUCGUAGCAAAGCACCGAACUGAAGCCCUGGUGAAUGGCGGCCGUAACUCUAACGGUCCUAAGGUAGCGAAAUUCCUUGUCGGCUAAAUACCGACCCGCAUGAAAGGCGUAACGACUUGGGCACUGUCUCGACCGGAAGCUCGGUGAAAUUGUAGCACCCGCGAAGAUGCGGGUUCCCCGCAGUAGGACGGAAAGACCCCGUGGAGCUUUACUACACCUUACGAUUGUGUUUUGGAUUGUAAUGUAGAGCGUAGGUGGGAGCUUCGGCACCAAUGGAACACCACCCUUUGCACUCUGGAACACUAACCUGUGCCCUCAUCGGGUAUGGAGACAGUCGUUGGCGGGUAGUUUGACUGGGGCGGUCGCCUCCAAAAAGGUAACGGAGGCGUUCAAAGGUACUCUCAGGCUGGUCGGAAAUCAGCCAUCGAGCGUAAUGGUAUAGAGAGUGCUUGACUGUGAGACAUACAGGUCGAGCAGGGACGAAAGUCGGACAUAGUGACCCUCUGGUGGUGCGUGGGCACGCCAGGGUUCAUCGGAUAAAAGCUACCCCGGGGAUAACAGGCUGAUCUUGCCCGAGCGCUCACAGCGACGGCAUGGUUUGGCACCUCGAUGUCGGCUCGUCACAUCCUGGGGCUGAAUUCGGUCCCAAGGGUUCCGGGGUUCACGGAUUAAAGUGGCACGCGAGCUGGGUUCAGAACGGCGUGAGCCAGUUCGGUCCCUAUCCACUGCGGGCGCAAGAGAUUUGAGGGGAGUCGCUCCUAGUACGAGAGGACCGGAGUGAACUGACCUCUGGUGUACCUGUUGUGCCGCCAGGCGCAGACGCAGGGUAGCCAAGUCGGGCAGUGAUAAGCGCUGAAAGCAUCUAAGCGCCAAGCACACCCCAAGAUUAGAUCUCUCACACGGUCAACGUGGUAAGAGCCCCAGAAGACUACUGGGUCGAUAGGCCGCAAUUGUAAGCACGGUAACGUGUUGAGAUAAGCGGUACUAAUAGCUCGAGGGCUUUUUUGAAC